rnacentral:rRNA from 1 species
AGUGAACGCUGGCGGUAGGCCUAACACAUGCAAGUCGAACGGCAGCACAGUAAGAGCUUGCUCUUACGGGUGGCGAGUGGCGGACGGGUGCGGAAUACAUCGGAAUCUACUUUUUCGUGGGGGAUAACGUAGGGAAACUUACGCUAAUACCGCAUACGACCUACGGGUGAAAGCAGGAGAUCUUCGGACCUUGCGCGAUUGAAUGAGCCGAUGUCGGAUUAGCUAGUUGGCGGGGUAAAGGCCCACCAAGGCGACGAUCCGUAGCUGGUCUGAGAGGAUGAUCAGCCACACUGGGACUGAGACACGGUCCAGACUCCUACGGGAGGCAGCAGUGGGGAAUAUUGGACAAUGGGCGCAAGCCUGAUCCAGCCAUACCGCGUGAGUGAAGAAGGCCUUCGGGUUGUAAAGCCCUUUUGUUGGGAAAGAAAAGCAGCAGGUUAAUACCCCGCUGUUCUGACGGUACCCAAAGAAUAAGCACCGGCUAACUUCGUG